GAAGAAGAAACAACACAGAGAGGAACGAUAACACGAUACCACGAUACCACGAUACCACGAUACCCUCUUGGAAACAGAUAGCUUUUAGAUAAUAAAGUUUUGGUGUCACACUGCAACAAGUUAGGUUUAAUUUUGUCGGAAGCAUAUUAAAUUAAAAGAAAAAUUAAUGAACUCAGAAUAAGAAAAAUGAUGUUUCUUAAUAAUCCAUCCUACAGAGAAACAAAACCCUCGAAACCCCGAUUCCGUCAACCCAGAUUCACAAAUUGACAGAGUACUUCUUCCCCCGAAAGUGGUAGCAGAGUUCCGAACUUCCAAUCGGCCUUCCUCUGGUUUGGGUAUUCGUGAUUUCAAGAGCCAAACUUGUUCGGUAAUUGCAGCACAACUCUUAAACUAAGAGUAACCCUAGGUCUUUUUGUUCUUCUUCCAUUUACUUGUUUCCCUCUUUGGAUUUCUGCAACUUCCGGCGCAAAUCUGACCACUUCCGGUCAGAUCUCGCCUCCACUCGCCGAAUUACACCGAAUUCCACGGUUAAUUUUGUUCGGUAAGUGCAGCACAACUCUCUCUCUCUCUGUGUCUCCCAAUCGCAUUUCUUUGAUGAUCUUGGUUUUUCUUUUUUCCGAAGCAAUGGAAUACGAGUUUAGAAUGAGAAGAUCGUUUAAGAUUUUGUGAUUUGAGUUCUCUGUUUUGGUAACAGUUUGAAUUGAGUUCCCGAAGAUGGGAGCAAACAAUGUCUUUAAGUACAUACUGUGAGGCUUAAUUUAGAGUUACAGUCCUCAUGAAGAUCUCUGGAACACCGUAAGAAGAUGGAGGGUAAAAUCGUCUUUUUCAUUUAAAAAAUUAACACUUUUUGCCCUAUUUUGAUGGGUUUAAAUGUAAUUUUGUUAUUAGGGAUUAUGUAAUUUUGGCAAAAGACAAUGGAGGUUGAUGUAAAUCAUUCUUUUUUUUUUUUUUUUUUCUUCAAUUUUGGGAGAAUUUUUAGUCUGUUGGAAAGUUUUUUUGAUAAAGAUUAAAGAUCUUUUUAAAAAAGUAUACCAAACCAAGGAAUACAUACUUUUUAAUAGUAAUAUGAUAUAUAUAUAUAUAGAGAGAGAGAGAGGAGCUCCCCUUGGGGGCAAUCUUUUGGGUGUUUGAUGUAGAAUUUUAUAGGUUCAUGUAUAUCUCUAGAUGGAUGUACGAUUUUCUUGGCUAGUUUGCCAGAUGAAAUUUUGUUAAUUUAUUUGUUAUGGCUGUUCAAAGUUGCCAUACAUCACGCAUGCUGAAUACUGAGCAAUAAUUAUAAUUUGUCUUCCAUCAUUGUCCUUGCUCUUGUAUGUAA